rnacentral:rRNA from 1 species
AGACUGAACGCUGGCGGCAUGCCUAACACAUGCAAGUCGAACGGCAGCGCGGGGAGCAAUCCCUGGCGGCGAGUGGCGGACGGGUGAGGAAUACAUCGGAAUCUACCCUGUCGUGGGGGAUAACUAACCGAAAGGUUAGCUAAUACCGCAUACGACACCGCGUUUGAUAGACGCAGGGUGAAAGCGGAGGACCUUCGGGCUUCGCGCGAUUGGAUGAGCCGAUGUCGGAUUAGCUAGUUGGCGGGUAAGAGCCCACCAAGGCGACGAUCCGUAGCUGGUCUGAGAGGAUGAUCAGCCACACUGGGACUGAGACACGGCCCAGACUCCUACGGGAGGCAGCAGUGGGGAAUAUUGGACAAUGGGCGCAAGCCUGAUCCAGCAAUGCCGCGUGUGUGAAGAAGGCCUUGGGUUGUAAAGCACUUUAGUCGGAGACGAAAGCGCGUGGUUAAUACCCGAUGCGUCAUGACGUACCGAGAAUAAGC